rnacentral:rRNA from 1 species
GAUGAACGCUGGCGGCGUGCCUAACACAUGCAAGUCGAGCGAUUUACUUCGGUAAAGAGCGGCGGACGGGUGAGUAACGCGUGGGUAACCUGCCCUGUACACACGGAUAACAUACCGAAAGGUAUGCUAAUACGAGAUAAUAUGCUUUUAUCGCAUGGUAGAAGUAUCAAAGCUUUUGCGGUACAGGAUGGACCCGCGUCUGAUUAGCUAGUUGGUGAGGUAACGGCUCACCAAGGCGACGAUCAGUAGCCGACCUGAGAGGGUGAUCGGCCACAUUGGAACUGGGACCCGGUCCAAACUCCUACGGGAGGCAGCAGUGGGGAAUAUUGCACAAUGGGCGAAAGCCUGAUGCAGCAACGCCGCGUGAGCGAUGAAGGCCUUCGGGUCGUAAAGCUCUGUCCUCAAGGAAGAUAAUGACGGUACUUGAGGAGGAAGCCCCGGCUAACUACGUG